rnacentral:rRNA from 1 species
GUCUGCGAUAGCCCCGUGUUCCAGAAGAGGAUGGACCGGCCCACACUUGGACGGACCGGCCCAGAUCUCUACGGAGGCACACAUGGGAUAUUUUUCCGCCAAUGGCGAAGCCUUGAACGGAAGCAACGCCGCUGAAUAUGAAGUUCUUCGGAACGUAAAACUUUUGUUGUUCACGACGAACCGGGGGAACCAGGAAAUUGGGUCCCAGUGACGGUAGUGAACGAGGAAGCCACGGCUAACUACGUGCCAGCAGCCGCGGUAAUACGUAGGUGGCAAGCGUGUCCGGAAUAUUGGGCGUAAAGCGCAUGUAGGCGGUUCCUUAAGUCGGUCGUGAAAAUGCGGUGCUUAACGCCGUAUGGCGAUCGAAACUGGGGGACUUGAGUGCAGGAGAGGAAAGGGGAACUCCCAGUGUAGCGGUGAAAUGCGUAGAUAUUGGGAAGAACACCGGUGGCGAAGGCGCCUUUCUGGACUGUGUCUGACGCUGAGAUGCGAAAGCCAGGGUAGCGAACGGGAUUAGAUACCCCGGUAGUCCUGGCCGUAAACGAUGGGUACUAGGUGUGGGAGGUAUCGACCCCUUCCGUGCCGGAGUUAACGCAAUAAGUACCCCGCCUGGGGAGUACGGCCGCAAGGCUUAAACUCAAAGGAAUUGACGGGGGCCCGCACAAGCGGUGGAGUAUGUGGUUUAAUUCGACGCAACGCGAAGAACCUUACCAAGGCUUGACAUUGAGUGAAAGACCUGGAGACAGGUCCCCCUCUUCGGAGGCACGAAAACAGGUGGUGCAUGGCUGUCGUCAGCUCGUGUCGUGAGAUGUUGGGUUAAGUCCCGCAACGAGCGCAACCCCUAUCCUAUGUUACCAGCAUUAAGUUGGGGACUCAUAGGAGACUGCCAGGGAGAACCUGGAGGAAGGCGGGGAUGACGUCAAGUCAUCAUGCCCCUUAUGUCUUGGGCUACACACGUACUACAAUGGUCGGCAACAGAGAGCAGCGAACCCGCGAGGGGGAGCGAACCUCAAAAACCCGAUCCCAGUUCGGAUCGCAGGCUGCAACCCGCCUGCGUGAAGUCGGAAUCGCUAGUAAUCGCAGGUCAGCAUACUGCGGUGAAUACGUUCCCGGGCCUUGUACACACCGCCCGUCACACCACGAAAGUUGGUAACACCCAAAGCCGGUGGGAUAACCGCAAGGAGUCAGCCGUCUAAGGUGGGGCCGAUGAUUGGGGUGAAGUCGUAACAAGGUAGCCGUAAAUCACUGCCGUCGAACGCCC